rnacentral:rRNA from 1 species
UACGAAGGGGGCUAGCGUUGUUCGGAAUCACUGGGCGUAAAGCGCACGUAGGCGGAUCUUUAAGUCAGGGGUGAAAUCCCAGAGCUCAACUCUGGAACUGCCUUUGAUACUGGGGAUCUCGAGUUCGGGAGAGGUGAGUGGAACUGCGAGUGUAGAGGUAAAAUUCGUAGAUAUUCGCAAGAACACCAGUGGCGAAGGCGGCUCACUGGCCCGAUACUGACGCUGAGGUGCGAAAGCGUGGGGAGCAAACAGG